CAACCCUUAAGCCUAGCUUAGUGUUGGGAGCCUACUGCUUUUGUUAGCUGUAGCUCCUGAAAUACAACGGCGGAUCUGCGAUAUCCUCUGAGCGUAGUAAUUUUUUUCCUCGCUUUUGACUGGAGUUGCAGCGUCUUUAGCCGCUAAACCCCCCAAUUUUUAAUGG
rnacentral:misc_RNA from 1 species